GACGAACCGAGCGAACGCUAUUCGGAAUCACUGGGCUUAAAGGGCGCGUAGGCGGAUCAAAAAGUCAGGGGUGAAAUCCCACGGCUCAACCGUGGAAGUGCCUUUGAUACUGUUGAUCUCGAGGGAGGUAGGGGCGUGCGGAACUUCCGGUGGAGCGGUGAAAUGCGUAGAUAUCGGAAGGAACACCGGUGGCGAAAGCGGCGCGCUGGACCUCUUCUGACGCUGAGGCGCGAAAGCCAGGGGAGCAAACGGG
rnacentral:rRNA from 1 species